AUGGCGGGAAAGGGGAGCAAGAAGGACAUCGAAUCCGUCCUCAUGCAGGCCAUGCUGGCCGCCAAGACGGUGCGGGCGCAGCGCGACCGCCUCCUGCAGCUCCAGCAGCGCCUGCAGGACCUCCAGGCCGACGCCACCCCCGCCGUCGUUGAGGCGGACGCGGACGCGGACGCCAAGCUCAGGGAGCUCGCCUCCAACCUCUUCAAGGUCUACUACAUCGGCCUGGAGGCCGGCGCCCGCAUCCUCACGACCUGCGUCCACCUCGCCGCGGAGAAGGGCAUUCGCUUCUCCCCGCCCAACCUGGCUUUCGCAGUCAUGCCGGACGAGCAGCUCCACGACGCGCUGCUCGCGCAGCAGUUCCCGGCCCGCCCCAGGAUCGCGGGCCUCGCCGUGAAGCACAUCGACGUCGCCGUCGCGGUCGCCGUCCUCUCCCGCUUCAUGGACCCCAAGAAGCUCGCCAGCCUCGCCGAGUUCUGCGACGACCACGCCUACAUCUCCGAGGAGGGUUUCUAUGAUUCUAUCUAG
rnacentral:rRNA from 1 species